rnacentral:rRNA from 1 species
AAUAUUGGACAAUGGGCGCAAGCCUGAUCCAGCCAUGCCGCGUGAGUGAUGAAGGCCUUAGGGUUGUAAAGCUCUUUCAGCGGGGAAGAUAAUGACGGUACCCGCAGAAGAAGCCCCGGCUAACUUCGUGCCAGCAGCCGCGGUAAUACGAAGGGGGCUAGCGUUGCUCGGAAUCACUGGGCGUAAAGGGUGCGUAGGCGGGUUUUUAAGUCAGGGGUGAAAUCCUGGAGCUCAACUCCAGAACUGCCUUUGAUACUGAAGAUCUUGAGUCCGGGAGAGGUGAGUGGAACUGCGAGUGUAGAGGUGAAAUUCGUAGAUAUUCGCAAGAACACCAGUGGCGAAGGCGGCUCACUGGCCCGGUACUGACGCUGAGGUGCGAAAGCGUGGGGAGCAAAC